rnacentral:rRNA from 1 species
AGUGAACGCUGGCGGUAGGCCUAACACAUGCAAGUCGAACGGCAGCACAGUAAGAGCUUGCUCUUACGGGUGGCGAGUGGCGGACGGGUGAGGAAUACAUCGGAAUCUACUUUUUCGUGGGGGAUAACGUAGGGAAACUUACGCUAAUACCGCAUACGACCUACGGGUGAAAGCAGGGGAUCUUCGGACCUUGCGCGAUUGAAUGAGCCGAUGUCGGAUUAGCUAGUUGGCGGGGUAAAGGCCCACCAAGGCGACGAUCCGUAGCUGGUCUGAGAGGAUGGUCGGCCACACUGGAACUGAGACACGGUCCAGACUCCUACGGGAGGCAGCAGUGGGGAAUAUUGGACAAUGGGCGCAAGCCUGAUACAGCCAUACCGCGUGGGUGAAGAAGGCCUUCGGGUUGUAAAGCCCUUUUGUUGGGAAAGAAAAGCAGCAGGUUAAUACCCCGCUGUUCUGACGGUAACCAAAGAAUAAGCACCGGCUAACUUCGUG